rnacentral:lncRNA from 1 species
CGUGGCAGCAUAUACACAUCAAAAUGCUCUUCAUCUGCUCUCUUCAGUCCCAACCUGGAAUCGAAUCGCCUCUUCCCUCCGCUCCAGGAUGGUGAAUCAGGGCGAGUCCAAUAAGCGCAUUGGCCAAGCGGGGGACACCGAGAGAGACCAGAGAUGCUACAACGUCUUCCUCUGCCCCACGAAUUUCCUCGCGACGCCAAAGAUGAGAGCCUUCGUCAGGAGCCCUUGAUCAAGGGUACAAGCCAGAGCCACCGCGCCACCAAGUACAAGGAACCUCGCCACAUUGUUUCUUGCCGGUUUCUCUUCUGCUUCCACGAUUUCUGAUUCCUCGCUGUUGGACUCCAGGGACCGAACAAAGUUGUCACCAACCUUAGUGUUGAUCCGGGCCAUCAAGGCACUCUUUGACGCUGGCUCCCCAGCAGCCCUGGCCUCCUGAUAGGCCCGGAGUCCAGGCUCAAUUUUCUUUACACAUCCCCACAUUCCUUGCCGAAUCCCAAGCUUUGCAAUCUCAUACGGGAUACCCAUGUCCUCAUGGUGGAACAGGAGAAUCUCACAGGCU